rnacentral:rRNA from 1 species
UCUAGCCUGCCCAGUGACUCUGUUCAACGGCCGCGGUAUCCUAACCGUGCGAAGGUAGCGUAAUCAUUUGUUCUUUAAAUGAGGACUAGUAUGAAAGGCAUCACGAGGAUUUCACUGUCUCCUUUUCUUAAUCAGUGAAAUUAAUCUUCCCGUGAAGAAGCGGGAAUACUACUACAAGACGAGAAGACCCUAUGGAGCUUUAAACUAAUAACACUUGCCUUUCAUUAAUUACUUCCAGAAAAUUAUUAUUUAUUCUGGCAUUAUGAUUUUUAGUUUUAGGUUGGGGUGACCGCGGAGAAAAGAAUAUCCUCCACAUUGAAAAGAAAACUUCUUUAACUAAAAAUUACCACUUUAAGUAUCAAUAAAUUGACAUUUUUGACCCAAUAUUUUGAUCAACGAACCAAGUUACCCUAGGGAUAACAGCGCAAUCCACUUUGAGAGCCCCUAUCGACAAGUGGGUUUACGACCUCGAUGUUGGAUCAGGGUAUCCCAGUGGCGCAGCCGCUACUAAAGGUUCGNNUGUUCAACGAUU